rnacentral:rRNA from 1 species
AUGGCUUUCGCUUUAGAUCAGAGGCAUCUGAGAAAAAAACGUAGAAGGUUGAAAACAGUGAACACAGGAGUUUGUUUGCCUUCCUUCAUCUCAGAGACUCAACAUCUUGAGUACUAUGGUGUCACUGAGGAAAUAAUCAAAUUAUCCUUCACAGCUAGUAGAAAAAUUGAGAUGGUACUCUUCAAAUGUCGUUGGUUUGAUCCUAUCAAAGGUGUGAAGCCAAAUGCAAAAUUAGGUUUGGUGGAGAUCCAGUUGUCUUCAAGGCUUCGUAAUUUUGAACCAUUUGCCAUGGCUCACCAAGCUACACAAGCUUAUUACUUGAAGUAUGCAUCCUCGAGGAGAGAUCUUCAUGAUUGGAGGGUUGUGUACACGAUUCAGCCAAGCAGCAACUUGAGUAACCUUGAUGACUGCGCAAAUGACCCAUCUACUACAGAUGAAUAUUUCCAAGAAGUUAGUCAGCUGGGUAGUUUUUCUGUAGAUGUUGGCAAAUUUGGUGAUGAGUCUGCUGAGCCAAGAAAGGAGUCAGAUGAUGUGAUGCUUGAUCCCUCUGAAAUUGAAAGAAUAGAAAAUCAAGACUUUAAUGAUGAGGGAGAAGAAUCUUCAGAAGAUGAUUUGGAAGAGAGUAGAUGA